CCGUGCUUAUAAUAAUUUCUAGCUAAAGUACACCAAACCCAAAUUCACUUUUAAUAUACGGAGACCAAACCCAUAUUAUGAAUAAGGUACUAUAUUUUAGAUCUUUUAAAAAAUUCCCAUGAAGAUUUUCUUUCUCUUUUAUAAUUGCUUCUUGUAAGUGAAAUUACAAUCAACACAAACAGAUUCCACCGUUUACAAUAUUAGAGUGUGUUUGACGUUGCAAAGCAUACGUAACCAAGCAGAGUAGUCAAUGACAUCAUUAUCGUCCAAUGAAAAAUAAGUAUGAAAAAGUACGGGAAAGAUGAUUAUGCAACUAUUAACCGGGGCAAUAGUCUUUGAAACUAUUGACUGGCAAAUGGUUCUGUGGAAUGAAAUAGCACAACUAUUUCAUUACUUUUUAUAUAGAAAAAACAUACUGAGGUAUAAUAA
rnacentral:lncRNA from 1 species